AGAGUAUUGGCUGAGUGGUUUAAAGCGGUAAACUUGAGUUUUAUUUAAUUGUGUGCAAUUACGUUAGUUCGAACCUGACAUACUCUG
rnacentral:tRNA from 1 species